AAUGAACGUUGGCGGCGUGGAUUAGGCAUGCAAGUCGAGCGAGAACCGGCCUUCGGGCCGGGGACAGCGGCGAAAGGGACAGUAAGGUGUAGAUCAUCUGCCCCGAGGACCGGGAUAGCUGCGGGAAACUGCAGGUAAUACCGGAUAACAUCUCCGGAUCAAAGGUGUGAUUCCGCCUCGGGAUGAGUCUGCAUCCUAUUAGCUUGUUGGUGGGGUAAUGGCCUACCAAGGCAAUGAUGGGUAGCGGGUGUGAGAGCACGACCCGCGUCACUGGGACUGAGACACUGCCCAGACACCUACGGGUGGCUGCAGUCGAGAAUCUUCGGCAAUGGGCGCAAGCCUGACCGAGCGACGCCGCGUGCGGGAUGAAGGCCUUCGGGUUGUAAACCGCUGUCAGAGGGGAGGAAAUCUACCAGGGUUCUCUCUGGUAGUUGACCUAUCCUCAGAGGAAGUACGGGCUAAGUUCGUGCCAGCCGCCGCUGUAAUAC
rnacentral:rRNA from 1 species